rnacentral:rRNA from 1 species
UUGCAGUUAAAAAGCUCAUAGUUGGAUUUCUGGUGGGAGCACGGGUCGGCCUUCACGGGUUGUACUGUUGUUGCGUCCUGCCGUUUCGGAGGGAAUAAUCUCGCUAUUAAGUUAGCGUGAUCGGGAACUCUGUCGUUUACUGUGAAAAAAUUAGAGUGUUCAAAGCAGGCCUUCGCUGUGAAUACAUUAGCAUGGAAUAAUAAGAUAGGACUAUAGUGCUAUUUUGUUGGUUUGCGUACUAUGGUAAUGAUUAAUAGGGAUAGUUGGGGGUACUCAUAUUCAAUUGUCAGAGGUGAAAUUCUUGGAUUUAUGGAAGAUGA